rnacentral:rRNA from 1 species
UUGAACGCUGGCGGCAUGCUUUACACCUGCAGGUCGAACGGUAACAGGCCUUCGGGUGCUGACGAGUGGCGAACGGGUGAGUAAUGCAUCGGAACGUACCCAGAGGUGGGGGAUAACGCAGCGAAAGCUGUGCUAAUACCGCAUGUGAUCUGAGGAUGAAAGCGGGGGACCGAGCAGCAAUGUUUGGCCUCGCGCCUUUGGAGCGGCCGAUGUCGGAUUAGCUAGUUGGUGGGGUAAAGGCCUACCAAGGCGACGAUCCGUAGCUGGUCUGAGAGGACGACCAGCCACACUGGGACUGAGACACGGCCCAGACUCCUACGGGAGGCAGCAGUGGGGAAUUUUGGACAAUGGGCGCAAGCCUGAUCCAGCAAUGCCGCGUGCGGGAAGAAGGCCUUCGGGUUGUAAACCGCUUUUGGCAGGAACGAAACGGUGUCCGCUAAUACCGGGCGCUAAUGACGGUACCUGCAGAAUAAGCACCGGCUAACUACGUG